rnacentral:rRNA from 1 species
GUGGGGAAUCUUGCGCAAUGGGCGAAAGCCUGACGCAGCCAUGCCGCGUGAAUGAUGAAGGUCUUAGGAUUGUAAAAUUCUUUCACCGGGGACGAUAAUGACGGUACCCGGAGAAGAAGCCCCGGCUAACUUCGUGCCAGCAGCCGCGGUAAUACGAAGGGGGCUAGCGUUGCUCGGAAUUACUGGGCGUAAAGGGCGCGUAGGCGGACAGUUUAGUCAGAGGUGAAAGCCCAGGGCUCACCCUUGGAAUUGCCUUUGAUAGUGGCUGUCUUGAGUACGGGAGAGGUGAGUGGAACUCCGAGUGUAGAGGUGAAAUUCGUAGAUAUUCGGAAGAACACCAGUGGCGAAGGCGACUCACUGGCCCGAUACUGACGCUGAGGCGCGAAAGCGUGGGGAGCAAACAGGAUUAGAAACCCGUGUAGUCC